rnacentral:snoRNA from 1 species
AAGAAAAAAAAGCAAAGGAGUUCUCAGGGCUGGCAACCUUACAGUAGAGGUUGAAUAGUAGAAUAUUUCUCCUACAUAA